CUGGGAGGACCAUCUCCUAAGGCUAAAUACUCUCUAGUGACCGAUAGUGAACCAGUACCGUGAGGGAAAGGUGAAAAGCACCCCGGAAGGGGAGUGAAAUAGAACCUGAAACCGUGUGCUUACAAGUAGUCAGAGCCCGUUAAUGGGUGAUGGCGUGCCUUUUGUAGAAUGAACCGGCGAGUUACGAUUUGAUGCAAGGUUAAGCAGUAAAUGUGGAGCCGUAGCGAAAGCGAGUCUGAAUAGGGCGUUUAGUAUUUGGUCGUAGACCCGAAACCAGGUGAUCUACCCUUGGUCAGGUUGAAGUUCAGGUAACACUGAAUGGAGGACCGAACCGACUUACGUUGAAAAGUGAGCGGAUGAACUGAGGGUAGCGGAGAAAUUCCAAUCGAACCUGGAGAUAGCUGGUUCUCUCCGAAAUAGCUUUAGGGCUAGCCUCAAGUGAUGAUUAUUGGAGGUAGAGCACUGUUUGGACGAGGGGCCCCUCUCGGGUUACCGAAUUCAGACAAACUCCGAAUGCCAAUUAAUUUAACUUGGGAGUCAGAACAUGGGUGAUAAGGUCCGUGUUCGAAAGGGAAACAGCCCAGACCACCAGCUAAGGUCCCAAAAUAUAUGUUAAGUGGAAAAGGAUGUGGCGUUGCCCAGACAACUAGGAUGUUGGCUUAGAAGCAGCCAUCAUUUAAAGAGUGCGUAAUAGCUCACUAGUCG
rnacentral:rRNA from 1 species